rnacentral:rRNA from 1 species
CUAAUACCGCAUAAGCCCACGGCUCGGCAUCGAGCAGAGGGAAAAGGAGCAACCCGCUUUGAGAUGGCCUCGCGUCCGAUUAGCUAGUUGGUGAGGUAACGGCCCACCAAGGCGACGAUCGGUAGCCGGACUGAGAGGUUGAACGGCCACAUUGGGACUGAGACACGGCCCAGACUCCUACGGGAGGCAGCAGUGGGGAAUAUUGCACAAUGGGGGAAACCCUGAUGCAGCGACGCCGCGUGGAGGAAGAAGGUCUUCGGAUUGUAAACUCCUGUUGUUGGGGAAGAUAAUGACGGUACCCAACAAGGAAGUGACGGCUAACUACGUGCCAGCAGCCGCGGUAAAACGUAGGUCACAAGCGUUGUCCGGAAUUACUGGGUGUAAAGGGAGCGCAGGCGGGAAGACAAGUUGGAAGUGAAAUCUAUGGGCUCAACCCAUAAACUGCUUUCAAAACUGUUUUUCUUGAGUAGUGCAGAGGUAGGCGGAAUUCCCGGUGUAGCGGUGGAAUGCGUAGAUAUCGGGAGGAACACCAGUGGCGAAGGCGGCCUACUGGGCACCAACUGACGCUGAGGCUCGAAAGUGUGGGUAGCAAACAGGAUUAGAUACCCUGGUAGUCCACACCGUAAAC